AAAUAAGUCAUAUUGAUGUGGUUCUAAAUUAUUUCAUUAAUGGUAAAAAGAAAAUUUAAAAUUAAAUUAUUUUUAAAUAUAAAAAUGGAUAGUUUUUUUGGAAAAGAUUAAAAAGAAUAGUAGAUAACAUAAAUUGGGUGAGAGGGAGUAGCAUAUUUAUCGUUAAUUAUUUGUCAAAUCAAUUAGCUUCUUCUGCACCAUUAUUCUUCUCAAAAAAUUCCUGAUUUCACUUCCUGGCCUUAAAAGAUUUUGUUUGUUUGGUUUAAUCAAAGUACAGAAACAUCAUGGGAAAUGACGCUGAAGAACAAUUAAGCCUAAACAAAGAUUCCAAGGAUGGUGAAGUUGUAGAAUAUUCCUUGUUACCCCCUAUACCAAAAUCACCAAUUAACAGCAGCAGACCAAACAGCAUGGUUAUUAAG